rnacentral:rRNA from 1 species
CCUACGGGUGGCUGCAGUGAGGAAUAUUGGUCAAUGGACGCCAGUCUGAACCAGCCAAGUAGCGUGCAGGAUGACGGCCCUCCGGGUUGUAAACUGCUUUUAGUUGGGAAUAAAAGGGGGCUCGUGAGCCCCGUAUUGUAUGUACCAUCAGAAAAAGGACCGGCUAAUUCCGUGCCAGCAGCCGCGGUAAUACGGAAGGUCCGGGCGUUAUCCGGGUUUAUUGGGUUUAAAGGGAGCGUAGGCCGGCUUUUAAGUCAGCUGUGAAAGUCCUCGGCUCAACCGUAAAAGUGCAAUUGAUACUGGCAGUCUUGAGUACAGUUGAGGUAGGCGGAAUUCGUGGUGUAGCGGUGAAAUGCUUAGAUAUCACGAAGAACUCCGAUUGCGAAGGCAGCUUACUAAACUGCCACUGACAUUGAUGCUCGAAAGUGUGGGUAUCAAACAGGAUUAGAUACCCGAGUAGUC